rnacentral:tRNA from 1 species
GUCAAUAUAGUUCAAUUGGUAGAACGUCUGUUUUGUAAUCAGAAAGUUGUGGGUUCAAGUCCUACUAUUGGCU